rnacentral:tRNA from 1 species
AUUAGCUCAGCUGGUAGAGCACACGACUUUUAAUCGUAUGGUCACAGGUUCGAAUCCUGUAU